rnacentral:rRNA from 1 species
GACGAACGCUGGCGGCGUGCUUAACACAUGCAAGUCGAACGGAAAGGCUCCAGCUUGCUGGAGUACUCGAGUGGCGAACGGGUGAGUAACACGUGGGUAAUCUGCCCUGCACUCUGGGAUAAGCCUGGGAAACUGGGUCUAAUACUGGAUAUGACCUUUCUCCUUAUGGGGUUUGGUGGAAAGUUUUUCGGUGUAGGAUGAGCCCGCGGCCUAUCAGCUUGUUGGUGGGGUGAUGGCCUACCAAGGCGACGACGGGUAGCCGGCCUGAGAGGGUGAUCGGCCACAUUGGGACUGAGAUACGGUCCAGACUCCUACGGGAGGCAGCAGUGGGGAAUAUUGCACAAUGGGCGGAAGCCUGAUGCAGCGACGCCGCGUGAGGGAUGACGGCCUUCGGGUUGUAAACCUCUUUCAGCAGGGACGAAGCGUAAGUGACGGUACCUGCAGAAGAAGCACCGGCUAACUACGUG